UACGGAGGGGACUAGCGUUGUUCGGAAUUACUGGGCGUAAAGAGUUCGUAGGCGGAUAAGCAAGUAAGAGGUGAAAGCCCAGGGCUCAACCUUGGAACUGCCUUUUAAACUGCUUAUCUAGAGACCGGUAGAGGUUAGGGAAUACUAGUGUAGAGGUGAAAUUCGUAGAUAUUAGGUGGAACACCAGUGGCGAAGGCGCCUAACUGGACCGGUACUGACGCUGGAGGAACGAAAGCGUGGGGAGCAAACAGGAUUAGAUACCCCGUGGUAGUCC
rnacentral:rRNA from 1 species